UAAUGUAUACUAAUCUGCCCUACACUAGAGGACAACAGUUGGAAACGACUGCUAAUACUCUAUACACCUCUCUAGCAUAAGUUAGAUAGGGAAAGUUUUUCGGUGUAGGAUGAGGCUAUAUUGUAUCAGCUAGUUGGUGAGGUAAUGGCUCACCAAGGCUAUGACGCAUAACUGGUCUGAGAGGAUGAUCAGUCACACUGGAACUGAGACACGGUCCAGACUCCUACGGGAGGCAGCAGUAGGGAAUAUUGCUCAAUGGGGGAAACCCUGAAGCAGCAACGCCGCGUGGAGGAUGACACUCUUCGGAGCGUAAACUCCUUUUGUUAGGGAAGAACAAUGACGGUACCUAACGAAUAAGCACCGGCUAACUCCGUGCCAGCAGCCGCGGUAAUACGGAGGGUGCAAGCGUUACUCGGAAUCACUGGGCGUAAAGGACGCGUAGGCGGAUUAUCAAGUCUCUUGUGAAAUCCUAUGGCUUAACCAUAGAACUGCUUGGGAAACUGAUAAUCUAGAGUGAGGGAGAGGCAGAUGGAAUUGGUGGUGUAGGGGUAAAAUC
rnacentral:rRNA from 1 species